AACAAACGCUGGCGGCGUGCCUAAUACAUGCAAGUCGAACGGGGAAAGCUGGUAGCAAUACCGGUGAGUACAGUGGCGCACGGGUGAGUAACACGUGGAUAACCUGCCUUCAAGUGGGGGAUAACCCUGGGAAACCGGGGCUAAAACCGCAUGACAUCCCGGAACGAUGUUCUGGGAUUGAAAUUAGCAAGAAGCUUGAAGAGGGGUCCGCGGCUGAUUAGCUAGUUGGUGAGGUAACGGCCCACCAAGGCUUUGAUCGGUAGCCGGCCUGAGAGGGCGGACGGCCACACUGGAACUGAAACACGGUCCAGACUCCUACGGGAGGCAGCAGUGGGGAAUUUUGCGCAAUGGGGGAAACCCUGACGCAGCAACGCCGCGUGGACGAUGAAGCUUCUUGGAGUGUAAAGUCCUUUCGGCAGGGACGAAUAAAUUGACGGUACCUGCAGAAGAAGCCCCGGCUAACUUCGUGCCAGCCGCCGCUGUAACAC
rnacentral:rRNA from 1 species